UGGGAANCCUCCAUAGCACCAAGCCUGCUCUU
rnacentral:piRNA from 1 species